rnacentral:rRNA from 1 species
GGCUUUGCCUGCUAUCUCUUACCCAUGUCUUUUAAGUACCUUCGUUUCCUCGGCGGGUUCGCCCGCCGAUUGGACAAUUUAAACCAUUUGCAGUUGCAAUCAGCGUCUGAAAAAACUUAAUAGUUACAACUUUCAACAACGGAUCUCUUGGUUCUGGCAUCGAUGAAGAACGCAGCGAAAUGCGAUAAGUAGUGUGAAUUGCAGAAUUCAGUGAAUCAUCGAAUCUUUGAACGCACAUUGCGCCCCUUGGUAUUCCAUGGGGCAUGCCUGUUCGAGCGUCAUUUGUACCUUCAAGCUCUGCUUGGUGUUGGGUGUUUGUCUCGCCUCUGCGUGUAGACUCGCCUCAAAACAAUUGGCAGCCGGCGUAUUGAUUUCGGAGCGCAGUACAUCUCGCGCUUUGCACUCAUAACGACGACGUCCAAAAGUACAUUUUUACACUCUUGACCUCGGAUCAGGUAGGGAUACCCGCUGAACUUAAGCAUAUC